rnacentral:rRNA from 1 species
AGAUUGAGCGCUGGCGGCAGGCCUAACACAUGCAAGUCGAGCGGUAGAGAGGUGCUUGCACCUCUUGAGAGCGGCGGACGGGUGAGUAAUGCCUAGGAAUCUGCCUAGUGGUGGGGGAUAACGUUCGGAAACGGACGCUAAUACCGCAUACGUCCUACGGGAGAAAGCGGGGGACCUUCGGGCCUCGCGCCAUUAGAUGAGCCUAGGUCGGAUUAGCUAGUUGGUGAGGUAAUGGCUCACCAAGGCGACGAUCCGUAACUGGUCUGAGAGGAUGAUCAGUCACACUGGAACUGAGACACGGUCCAGACUCCUACGGGAGGCAGCAGUGGGGAAUAUUGGACAAUGGGCGAAAGCCUGACUCCAGCCAAU